rnacentral:misc_RNA from 1 species
AAUGGAGAAAGAGAAUCCAUAUAACCAACUCCAAAUUCUUGGAAUAAUGGCUUAGUUGAGUUGAGUUUUUAGGAAGGAAAAAAAUAGAAAAUAAAAGAUAAAAAAUAAAGGAGAAGUUAGCUUUUGUAAGAUGUAUGUGAAGAAAGUUGACAUCAGCUUUUGUUUCUGCCUUUUGGAGGAUACCAGCCUUGUUCAAUUGGUCGUUUGCAUCCUAUCGAUAAGUUUAUCUUCCAGCGGACCACCAAAGGAUAAGAAAGAGGCAAAUGCUUAUCUGCAGAAUAGGAUUUUUGAAUAUGGUGAAGAAGGGAAUCCUGCGGAAAGAGUUAUGAUUGAGGAGCGCAGUUCUUCAAUAACAAAUUUGAUCUUUACUACCUAUUUCUUGGUGAAAAAUUUCACCUCUACUUUUCUUUUAUCUAUUCUGUGGCAAGU